rnacentral:rRNA from 1 species
UUGGAGGGCAAGUCUGGUGCCAGCAGCCGCGGUAAUUCCAGCUCCAAUAGCGUAUAUUAAAGUUGCUGCAGUUAAAAAGCUCGUAGUUGAAUUUCGGGAUUGACGUGAUGGUCAUGCCUUAAGGGGUAUGAACUGUUACUGUUGAUUUCUCACCUUCUGGAGAAACUUGAUGUCCUUUAUUGGGUGUCUUGCGGAUCCAGGACCUUUACCUUGAAAAAAUUAGAGUGUUUAAAGCAGGCAUUUUUGCUCGAAUACAUUAGCAUGGAAUAAUAGAAUAGGACGGCAUGGUUCUAUUUUGUUGGUUUCUAGGAUCACCGUAAUGAUUAAUAGGGAUAGUUGGGGGCAUUAGUAUUCAAUUGUCAGAGGUGAAAUUCUUGGAUUUAUUGAAGACUAACUACUGCGAAAGCAUUUGCCAAGGAUGUUUUCAUUAAUCAAGAACGAAAGUUAGGGGAUCGAAGACGAUCAGAUACCGUCGUAGUCUUAACCAUAAACUAUGCCGACUAGGAAUCAGACGAUGUUAAUUUUUUAAUGACUCGUUUGGCACCUUACGGGAAACCAAAG